rnacentral:rRNA from 1 species
GCUUUGCGGCACGAGUUGUAGAUUGCAGGUUGGAGUCUGUGUGGAAGGCGGUGUCCAAGUCCCUUGGAACAGGGCGCCCAGGAGGGUGAGAGCCCCGUGGGAUGCCGGCGGAAGCAGUGAGGCCCUUCUGACGAGUCGAGUUGUUUGGGAAUGCAGCUCCAAGCGGGUGGUAAAUUCCAUCUAAGGCUAAAUACUGGCGAGAGACCGAUAGCGAACAAGUACUGUGAAGGAAAGAUGAAAAGCACUUUGAAAAGAGAGUGAAACAGCACGUGAAAUUGUUGAAAGGGAAGGGUAUUGCGCCCGACAUGGGGAUUGCGCACCGCUGCCUCUCGUGGGCGGCGCUCUGGGCUUUCCCUGGGCCAGCAUCGGUUCUUGCUGCAGGAGAAGGGGUUCUGGAACGUGGCUCUUCGGAGUGUUAUAGCCAGGGCCAGAUGCUGCGUGCGGGGACCGAGGACUGCGGCCGUGUAGGUCACGGAUGCUGGCAGAACGGCGCAACACCGCCCGUCUUGAA